rnacentral:ncRNA from 1 species
CUUCUAUCAGGGCAAACUGCCGGAGACGGCAGGACGCAAAGCAACGGGGCUUUUUCAAACAUCCAGCUCAUAAUUUCCUCUCUCCCAUUUUAUGAAAGUAUGGAGAGUGUAAUUGUGAGGGGGUAAGUUGCAGGGACAGACCUUCAGGUCUGUCUAAUAUGCCAAGCCAGCCGGGCUGCCGAG